AUACGUAGGUGGCAAGCGUUGUCCGGAAUUAUUGGGCGUAAAGCGCGCGCAGGCGGUCCUUUAAGUCUGAUGUGAAAGCCCACGGCUCAACCGUGGCGGGUCAUUGGAAACUGGGGGACUUGAGUGCAGAAGAGGAAAGUGGAAUUCAAAGUGUAGCGGGGAAAUGCGUAGAGAUUUGGAGGAACACCAGUGGCGAAGGCGACUUUCUGGUCUGUAACUGACGCUGAGGCGCGAAAGCGUGGGGAGCAAACAGGAUUAGAUACCCUGGUAGUCCACGCCGUAAACGAUGAGUGCUAAGUGUUAGGGGGUUUCCGCCCCUUAGUGCUGCAGCUAACGCAUUAAGCACUCCGCCUGGGGAGUACGGUCGCAAGACUGAAACUCAAAGGAAUUGACGGGG
rnacentral:rRNA from 1 species